CAGCCGCCGCGGGAAUACGAAGGGGGCGAGCGUUGCUCGGAAUGACUGGGCGUAAAGGGCGCGUAGGUGGUACGGACAGUCAGAUGUGAAAUUCCCGGGCUCAACCUGGGGGCUGCAUUUGAUACGUCCGAACUAGAGCGUGGAAGAGGGUCGUGGAAUUCCCAGUGUAGAGGUGAAAUUCGUAGAUAUUGGGAAGAGCACCGGUGGCGAGGGCGGCGACCUGGUCCAUUACUGACGCUGAGGCGCGAAAGCGUGGGGAGCAAACAGGAUUAGAUACCCCCGUAGUCCCUGUCUCUUAUAC
rnacentral:rRNA from 1 species